UACGUAGGGGGCAAGCGUUGUCCGGAAUCAUUGGGCGUAAAGCGCGUGUAGGCGGUUCGGUAAGUCUGCUGUGAAAGUCCAGGGCUCAACCCUGGGAUGCCGGUGGAUACUGUCGGACUAGAGUACGGAAGAGGCGAGUGGAAUUCCCGGUGUAGCGGUGGGAUGCGUAGAGAUCCGGAGGAAGACCGGUGGCGAAGGCGGCCUGCUGGGCAGUUACUGACACUGAGGCGCAACAGCGUGGGGAGCAAACAGG
rnacentral:rRNA from 1 species